rnacentral:lncRNA from 1 species
UAUUUAGGCUAGUUUGGAUGAAAUAUUGACAUAAAGGAUAAGUAGUUAAAAUAUAGAGUAUAAUUAGAUAAUUAAAAGAUUUGAAUGAAAACAAAGGAGUUGAGUUUACUUGAUUUACUUGAUUCUUCUUUGCUUAUUAAAGGCUUUGGGGAAUGGAAGUGACAUGAUAUUUUUUUCUUUUUUUCUUUUUUUUUUUUUUUUUUUUGAGAUAGAGUGCCACUCUGUCACCCAUGCUGGAGUGCAGGGGUGCAAUCAAGGCUCGCUACAGUCUCAACCUCCCGGCCUCAAACGAUCUGCUCAUGUCAGCCUCUCAGGUACCUGGGACCACAGCCAUAUGAAGAUGUGCCGGCCUGUCCUUCACCUUCUGCCAUGAUGGUAGGUUUCCUGAGACUUCCGCAGAAGCAGAAGACUGUACAGCCCACAGAACCAGGAGCCGAUUAAGCCUCUUUUUUUUUAAGUAAAUUAUACAAUCUCAGAUAUAUUUUUAUAGCAGUGUGAGAAUGGACUAAUUAAUUAAUAUAUCCUAUAAUCUAGGUUGUAAGUUAUUUGAUACCGUCAUUUCAGAAAAAAACUAAUUGGAUUGGUGAGUGUUUUAACUUUUAUAUUAUCUUUUGAGAUAGAACUAUUUUGGGAAUUUAAGUCUAGUUUGAAGCUAGGGCUCUAAAAUAAUCUUAUUAUUUCACGGGAAAGCCCACAUACCUACCACCUAUAUAACUUCUUCAAUAGUAGUAAAAAGCCUGCCAACCAGAAAAAGCCUAGAACCAGAUGGAUUCACAGCCAAAUUUUACCAGCGGUACAAAGAAGAUCUGAUACCAUUCCCACUGAAACUAUUCAAAAAAAUUGAGGAGGAGGGACUCCUCUCUAAUUCAUUCUAUGAGGCCAGCAUCAUCUUAAUACCAAAACCUGGGAAACAGAACAAAAAAGAAAACUUCAGCCCAAUAGCCUUGAUGAACAGAGAUGCAAAAAUCUUCAACAAAAUACCAGCAAACCGAAUCCAGAAUCAUAUCAAAAAGCUAGUCCACCAUGAUCAAGUAGGCUUUAUCUCUGGGAUGCAAGGUUGCUCAACACAUGCACACCAAUAAAUGUGAUUAAUCACAUAAACAGAACUAAACACAAAAACCAAAUGAUCAUUUCAAUAGAUGCAGAAAAGGCUUUCAAUAAAAUUCAACAUCCCUUCAUGUUAAAAACUCUCAACAAAAUAGGCACUGAAGGAACAUACCUCAAAAUAAUAAAGCCAUCUGUGAAAAAUCCAUAGUCAACAUCAUACUGAAUGGACAAAAGCUAGAACUAUUCCCCUUAAAAACCAGAACAAGACAAGGAUGCCCUCUUUUACCAAUUUUAUUCAACAUAGUACUGGAAGUCCCAGCCAGAGCAAACACGCAAAAUAAAUAAAUAAAAGCCAUCAAAAUAGGAAGAGAGGAAGGCAAACUGUCUCUGUUUGCAGACAAUAUGACGUUAUACCUAGAAAACCCCACAGUGUCUGCCUAAAAGCUCCUUGAUCUGAUAAACAACUUUAGCAAAGUUUCAGGAUACAAAAAUCAGUGUACAAAAAUCAGUAGCAUUCUUACACACCAACAACAUCAAGCUGAGAGCCAAAUCAAGAAUGCAACUCCAUUCACAAUUGCCAUGAAAGGAAAAAAAUACCUAGGAGUACGGCUAAACUAGAGAGGUGAAAGAGCUCUACAAUGAGAAUUACAAAACACUGUUCGAAGAAAUCAUAGAUGACAUAAAUGGAGAAAUACUCUCUGCUCAUGGAUAGGAAGAAUCAAUAUUGUUAAAAUGGCCAUACUGCCCAAUUGGUUCUCUAGGAACCAAUUCCCAGUUCCACCACCAACCAGGUAGAUUUUUCCCUGCCAACACACACACUCCCUCCAGUGAAUUGUUAAAGCAGCUUUACAGAAUUUAUGUCAAGAUCUCUGAUUAUGGAUGCAGAGGGACCUCCAUUCAACUUACUGGCUCUCCUACCACUGGUUGUGCUGUGUGACCUUGGGAAAGCUCUUCAUCUCUCUGAAUCUCAUUUUUAUAUUCUGCAAAUUGGGUCUGACAACUAGCUCAUAGUAAUUCUUUUGAGGACUAAAUAAAGAACAUAGAUAUGAAAGGCACAUUGUUGGGCAUGUAGCAAUUUGAUUGUUGAUUGUCAUUUUAAAUGAUUAUUAUUUAUGUAUUCAUCAUUAAUAUUUAUUAGUGCUCUCUUUAGGACUUACCAAAAUCUAUAAUAUUCUAAUUUAUUUGUUUUAUCCCCAAGAGAACAAAAAAUCUUCAUUCUUGUAUGCCAAGUGGGGCUAAUAUUUGUAGAGUAAGUUUUACUACCAUUGUUAUUCUGUUAGUCUAUUAUUAUGUCUUAUAUGAUGACUGUUCUAGGCCAUGAGGCCAAUGUUACUCAUUUAUGUAUGCUGA